AGUUAAGUAAUUGCACAAGUAACAUAAUUAUGUUAUGAAUUAGUAAAGUAUUAUUUUUUUUUACAUUUGAUCUAUGAUGACAAUCUCACGGACAUAGCUUUGGUUGUUAUAUUUGGAGUUGACUUGUCGUGCUUCUUCUUCUACAAAUAGUACCACUCCCAAUACAUCUGUAUAAUUUGAAUAAAUUUUCAGAUCAAUAAGCUAUCUAAAAAUUGGGAAAAGUUAGGUGCAUAAAUAUGUAGAUAGUAAUAUAAUUAGGGCUGGCAAAAGCUGACACGACACGAAAACCCGACCCGAACCCGACCUGAAAAUAGCGUGUUUAGGUUGAGAUUUUUGACCCGAAAACUUAAAUGGGUCGACACGAACCCAACCUGAUAAUUAAAUGGGUUAGGUUAAGGUUGAAAUUUUCAACCCGAAAAUGACCCAUCUAACCCGGAAAAAAAAAUAAAAAAAUAAAAAACCCGUAUAAGUUAAAUAGCUUUGAUCCCUUCAAAAAAAAAAAAAGUUAAAUAGCUUUGAUGGCCCAAGCCCAAAUAAAGGUUUUAUAAAAUCAAAAUCUAAACCCUAAAAUCCUACACGUUCUUAACUCUCAGCCGUCACUCUUACUUUUCCUCUCAUGUUUCAUUUUUUCUUUCUCUCUCCAGAUCUAGAGAAUUCAAACAACUUGAGAGUUGAGACGUUGAGCCAUUGUUCUAUGUGAGUCGCACUUCUCCUUCACCAUUCAAGUGUUCAACCUAUAUCAAUCGAAAAGAUUUCUUCCGGUGAGGAGGAGAUUAAUUUGAACCGUUGAUGAAAGUCCUAUUAUUGCAUGAUGCAUCCUUUAAUAUUGUUUGAGAACUAGAAUACAAAUUUGUGUUUUAAAAUCCUUAGUAUAUUUGUAAUUCGUUAAGUAGAACUUCAUUUGGCUUGUAAUUCGAUAAGUAGGACUUUAAUUUGCUCGUAAUUCAUCAAGUAGGACAUCAAUUGGCUUGUAAUUCGUUAAGUAGGAUUGUUACUUUACUUUGGUAGACAAUUUUAUUUUGGUUGGGGUUGAAGGCUUGAAGCAUUGAAAA